UACAGAGGGUGCAAGCGUUGUUCGGAAUCAUUGGGCGUAAAGCGUGUGUAGGCGGCUAUCUAAGUUUAAUGUGAAAGCCCGGGGCUUAACUCCGGAAGUGCAUCGAAUACUGGAUAGCUAGAGGACGGGAGAGGAUAGUGGAAUUCAUGGUGUAGCAGUGAAAUGCGUAGAUAUCAUGAGGAACACCAGAGGCGAAGGCGACUUCCUGGACAAUUGCUGACGCUCAGGCACGAAAGCAUGGGGAGCAAACAGG
rnacentral:rRNA from 1 species